AGUGAGGGGCACUGGUGGAGGUGGGGGGAGCACAGCACUAACCCCUUAUUUGUAGCCCAGGUCCAGCUCUAGCCAGGGCACCUGGGCCAUGCCCAGGGCGCUCUGGGCUCAGGGCCGCUUUCUCCAGCCCUCUGCGUGGUCCCCAACACCGCCGGCACCCUACUCGCUGUGGGGCACCAUUCAGAUGAUGUUUGGGUCUACGGCACCCCCUGGGGCUCAGCUGGGUGGCGCUACACAGUAGGGGGUGUGGCGGUGCCCAGCCUGGCUUGGCUCGGGGAUGCUGUGCUGGCUGGAGGCAGCAGGGACGGGACCCUGCGUGGCUGGGCACUGGCGAGCAGCUUGGCCUGCCCCCUGUGGGAGCUGCAGGGGCACAAGGGCCGUGCUGGGCCUGGCCGCCUCGUCCCAGCUGCUGGCGUCUGCCUCAGAGGAUUUCACCAUCUGCCUGUGGCUGGCCGAGACACUGAGACGGGCCCUCCCGGACCCUUUCCCAGCCCCCCUGGCCGUCCUGCAGGGCCACGCGGCCGCUGUCACCUGCUGCGCCUUCAGCCCCGACGGCCGGCACC